rnacentral:rRNA from 1 species
CCUACGUGUGGCUGCAGUGGGGGAUAUUGCACAAUGGGGGGAACCCUGAUGCAGCGACGCCGCGUGGGUGAAGAAGCGUCUCGGCGUGUAAAGCUCUGUCAGCAGGGGAGAAAAGGACGGUACCUGAAGAAGAAGCCCCGGCUAACUACGUGCCAGCAGCCGCGGUAAUGCGUAGGGGGCGAGCGUUAUCCGGAUUUAGUGGGUGUAAAGGGGGCGUAGACGGUGUAGCAAGCCAGGAGGGAAAGCUCGGGGCCCAAACCCGGGACUGCUGUUGAAACUGCGAGGCUGGAGUGCAGGAGGGGCAGGCGGAAUUCCUGGUGUAGCGGUGAAAUGCGUAGAUAUUAGGAAGAACACCAAUAGCGAAGGCAGCUUACUGGGACGUUACUGACACUGAGGCACGAAAGCGUGGGGAGCAAACAGGAUUAGAUACCCCUGUAGUC